rnacentral:rRNA from 1 species
UACGUAGGGUGCAAGCGUUAAUCGGAAUUACUGGGCGUAAAGCGUGCGCAGGCGGCUUUGCAAGACAGAUGUGAAAUCCCCGGGCUCAACCUGGGAACUGCAUUUGUGACUGCAUGGCUGGAGUGCGGCAGAGGGGGAUGGAAUUCCGCGUGUAGCAGUGAAAUGCGUAGAUAUGCGGAGCAACACCGAUGGCGAAGGCAAUCCCCUGGGCCUGCACUGACGCUCAUGCACGAAAGCGUGGGGAGCAAACAGG